rfam:Pteropus alecto contig66130, whole genome shotgun sequence.
CGCUACAGCCAUGCCACCCUGAACGUGCUAGAUCUCGUCUGAUCUCGGAAGCUAAGCAGGGUCGGGCCUGGUUAGUACUUGGAUGGGAGACCAUCUAGGAAUACCAGGUGUUGUAGGCG